CAAGUGCAGACCAUCUCAGACACCUGCACUCAGGCCUGUGGUCCCAACCAUCCUCUCUAUGCAGACCUGCUGGGUAAAGCCACAAGGACCCUGAAAAUGGGCUCCCACGGGGUACCAAGGGCAAGGCCACCUCCAUGAAUGAUACAAGUGCUGAGGAUUUUCUUCUUUUCUAAAUAAUUUCCUUUUAGCCUACAAAGAGUCCUGAACUCCCCAAAGACUAAGGCUUUGAAGUACUGCCAAUCUCUGACCCAAGCCAUUCAGCCAACCUGCCAGAACACACUGAUGAUAAGAGGAUGCUAAUUACCAGAGAUUUGUUUUCAUAUGGAACAUGAAACUCUCUCAUUAUCAGAGGCUUUGCAUCAGUUAAAUUAUACAGAUUCUCAAUGAUGGCAGAAUGUGCUCAUUUUGCUCUGGUUGUACUAAUACUGCAUGGCUGCCUAACCUCCUAAUUGGAGUAAAAUGGAGACCAAACAGGGCAGCAAAUACCCAAAGGAAGGUCAAGAGAAAUUUUGGAAUAUUUUAAUUACAUUUAAGGGAUCAAGCAAAAAGAGCCCGGGUAAAAACAGCGGCACAAACUCUGAGUAUUCUGAUAUCAGACCACCUUAAGACAGACAGAAGACAAAAGGGCAUGGAUACCCACUGGCAUUAGACUUCGAAUAAUUGAAAAUACAGCGAUCUUCUUUUCCAGUCACAGGGUUAUGUCCCUAAGAGAGGGAGUAAAUUCGGAAUCAAAAAAAGAACUACAGCCCAUUGAUGCAGAAGAGGAAAGUUCAAUGAUAUUGGUAGUUGAAGAAUGGCUAUUCAUCUCUUUCCCUAUCCUGUAUCCUAUGAUGUCCUUUUAACUUAGCAACAUAAGCAGCUAAACGUAAAGGAGGACCACCAUCCCUUAACAUGGAGAAAACCGGAGAUUGCGGGUAUCCAACUGUACUAUGCAGAACAGGCUUUCAGAUCGAAGAGAUGCGCAUGGAAAGGGAAGAGCUUUUGUGAACUGAAAUAUAAUAUAUAAAAUAUACCCUCCAAGAAGGUAAGAAAGGCCCUUGUUUUCCACAGGGCAGAUCUGGCUUGGUGCACCUGCUCUGUUCUUCACAUUGCCAGCACUUCUUUCAAUCAAUGUACUCGUCAUAUGAGGCAGCAUUUUCCUAUCUAAAGCUUUAUUCAAUGCACCAUUGACAGCAGAGACACUGUUCUGUUCAUUAGUGACUCGCAGGAAUCCUGGGGAAAUGUUGAAUAAAUAAAUGGAUUCAAUCAAAACAGAAAGUAGGGAAGUGUCUACCUUAAAAGAGUCUGCCAUUUUCCUGGUCUUCUAUGGCUGUGUGUAGUGGGUAGCCAUUCCAGCUUGGAUCUGGAAGUUCCAACCCCCAUUGAGACUCUGGCAACUGUCACGCCUACAAGGCGGGGCAAGGGGAGGAGCUGGAAACCCGAGAGCUGGAUGGGCGAGCGCGCGCUCUCUCUGUGCACUUUCUGCGCCUGGA